rnacentral:rRNA from 1 species
GAUGAACGCUGGCGGCGUGCCUAAUACAUGCAAGUCGAGCGAACAGACGAGGAGCUUGCUCCUCUGACGUUAGCGGCGGACGGGUGAGUAACACGUGGAUAACCUACCUAUAAGACUGGGAUAACUUCGGGAAACCGGAGCUAAUACCGGAUAAUAUAUUGAACCGCAUGGUUCAAUAGUGAAAGACGGUUUUGCUGUCACUUAUAGAUGGAUCCGCGCCGCAUUAGCUAGUUGGUAAGGUAACGGCUUACCAAGGCAACGAUGCGUAGCCGACCUGAGAGGGUGAUCGGCCACGCUAGAACUGAGACACGGUCCAGACUCCUACGGGAGGCAGCAGUAGGGAAUCUUCCGCAAUGGGCGAAAGCCUGACGGAGCAACGCCGCGUGAGUGAUGAAGGUCUUCGGAUCGUAAAACUCUGUUAUUAGGGAAGAACAAAUGUGUAAGUAACUAUGCACGUCUUGACGGUACCUAGUCAGAAAGCCACGGCUAACUACGUG